UUCAAUCCACCAGGAAGUUUCUUCCAACUUUAUGGCCCAUCUGUAAAAAUCAACAAAUACCUCCCCAGUGUUUAGAACAGUGCUCGGCGCAUAGGCGGUGCUUAAGAAAUACCACCACUAUUACUAUUAUUAUUGUUUCUCCUAGCCCGGAGCAUUUCAGACGCUGACGACCCCGCGGUGAUGAUCUACUCCUCUUCCUCUUGUACCUUCCAAAUCAACGUGAAUGAAGAAUGCGAAAAGGUGACAGUGGGGGUUGAGGAAGUGCCUUUUUCGGGGAAAGGAUCUGAAAUUUUGGGGACAGCCCCGCCAACGACGAGAAAAGUCUGCAGGGAGAAGCCUCUCAAAAGACAAAACUGGUCCAGUGCUCCGGCUGCCUCUCGAAGGCUGUGAGAACCGAAACGGGAAGCUUCCCCGUUCGGGGAAGCCUUUCGGUGCUCGGAAAGAGAGAGUUUCCUCCACGGCUCGAUUUUGUGCAAGCCCAUUUCCUCUCUGCAAGCGAAUCUCAGAUGUAGAAAUUCAAAAUACAGCAAGUCUACGUCAGACGUGAGGCUCGGGGCGAACAGGAACUCACAGCUGUUAGCGCUCUGCGGCCUUUUCGUUCUUUCAGCUAGUCGCAUACAAAACAAGGUCGACGAAGAAGGGAAACAUCAAGAAGGCUCCCGACUGCGGCUUAUCAAUCAACAAAUCAAUAAUAUUUAUCGACUAAGUGUUCAAUAAAUAUCAUUGAUUGACUGAUGGA